rnacentral:rRNA from 2 species
UACGAAGGGGGCUAGCGUUGCUCGGAAUCACUGGGCGUAAAGGGCGCGUAGGCGGACUCUUAAGUCGGGGGUGAAAGCCCAGGGCUCAACCCUGGAAUUGCCUUCGAUACUGGGAGUCUUGAGUUCGGAAGAGGUUGGUGGAACUGCGAGUGUAGAGGUGAAAUUCGUAGAUAUUCGCAAGAACACCGGUGGCGAAGGCGGCCAACUGGUCCGAUACUGACGCUGAGGCGCGAAAGCGUGGGGAGCAAACAGG